rnacentral:rRNA from 1 species
AGCUUGCUCUUAUGGAGUUAGCGGCGGACGGGUGAGUAACACGUGGGUAACCUGCCCAUAAGACUGGGAUAACUCCGGGAAACCGGGGCUAAUACCGGAUAACAUUUUGAACUGCAUGGUUCGAAAUUGAAAGGCGGCUUCGGCUGUCACUUAUGGAUGGACCCGCGUCGCAUUAGCUAGUUGGUGAGGUAACGGCUCACCAAGGCAACGAUGCGUAGCCGACCUGAGAGGGUGAUCGGCCACACUGGGACUGAGACACGGCCCAGACUCCUACGGGAGGCAGCAGUAGGGAAUCUUCCGCAAUGGACGAAAGUCUGACGGAGCAACGCCGCGUGAGUGAUGAAGGCUUUCGGGUCGUAAAACUCUGUUGUUAGGGAAGAACAAGUGCUAGUUGAAUAAGCUGGCACCUUGACGGUACCUAACCAGAAAGCCACGGCUAACUACGUGCCAGCAGCCGCGGUAAUACGUAGGUGGCAAGCGUUAUCCGGAAUUAUUGGGCGUAAAGCGCGCGCAGGUGGUUUCUUAAGUCUGAUGUGAAAGCCCACGGCUCAACCGUGGAGGGUCAUUGGAAACUGGGAGACUUGAGCGCAGAAGAGGAAAGUGGAAUUCCAUGUGUAGCGGUGAAAUGCGUAGAGAUAUGGAGGAACA